rnacentral:pre_miRNA from 17 species
GGGCUCCUCCAUGUCUUCCAGCCCAAGGUGCAGUGCUGCAUCUCUGGUCAAUUGGGAGUCUGAGAUGAAGCACUGUAGCUCGGGAAGGGAGGAAUUGUGCACCCUG